AUGGGAGCAGCCCCGUGCUCCCUACCCCUGGGAGCAGGCUGGGUGGGCUGUGCCCGUCCCCAUCCCUCCUGGCAGCCCCCCUGGGGGGAUUUGCUUUUUGCUAAGCCAGCAGAAACCCGCGUUAGGCCGAAACACGCGUCUGGGAGCGGGGAGGCACCGGGGGGAGGGGGAUUAGGGCAGGCACCCCGAGAACGGCCGGGGGGAGACGCGACGCGGGGAGGAUGGGGAGGGGGCACCCAGGGCUGGGGAGGGGGCACCCAGGGCAGGGGAGGGGGCACCCUCGGCUCGCCCCGUGCCCGCCGCCCCCGCCUCGCCCCGCACCUUCUUGUCCCAGAUCUGCAGCGGCUUGCUGCCGAUGCUGUAGAGCACCGAGAGGAACCCGCUCUGGAACGUGUUCUUGAACAUGGCGGCGGGGCCGGGGCCGCCGCUCCGCGCAGGGCACACAGCAGCAGCAGCAGCAGCGGCUCCACCACCGGCAGCAGCGGCUCCAGAGCCGGGCUCGGGGCCGGGGCCGGUGCCUGGCGCUGCCGGGUGGCGGCGCCGCCGUCCCCCGGGCUCCGCUCCCCGCCCAACGCCGCUUCCGGGGGCGGCGCUGCCGGGGCAACGGGGCCGCGGCCUGGGGUCGGGGCUCGGCGUUCGACCUGCACGGGGGUGGCGGAGCCCCGGGCGCUGCCUCCCCUCAGGGGCUGCCCCAGGCUGCUGGAGAAGCCUCCUGGCAGCCUGUCCUGGCGGCGUGCCCUCAGGGAGCUCCCCUCGACCCAGCUCUGGGUGCCUCCAGGGAUGGGGCAGCCGCUUGUUCUCCAGGCAGCCUGUGGGGUGUGCCGCCCGCAUCGCAUCACAGAGUCAUGGAGUUGUCUGGGUUGGAAGAGACCUCCAGGAUCACCCAGUCCAACCUCUGACCUAACACUGACCGGUCCUCCACUAAACCACAUCACUGAGCUCUACAUCUAAACGUCUUUUAAAGACCUCCAGGGGUGGUGACUCCACCACUUCCCUGGGCAGCCCGUCCCAAUGCCUAAUUUCUUUCUGAUGUCCCCUCUAAAUCCACCUUCUUUUGCAUUGCCCCUUGUCCUGUCACUGCGUGCUCUGCUGAAGACUUUUUGUCCUC
rnacentral:lncRNA from 1 species